AAGAAAUGACUUAAGCAUAGAAAAAGCAUUGCUUUCUGAUCUCAAUAGGUGUGUCCAAGUUGCCCUGGAAAAGUCAUCAACAAUUGUAAGGAAAUAUUUACAACCAGAUGAGGUUGGAGUAUGAUAAGUCCCCAGGUGUCCACAUGAAUCAGUUGAAAAGGUCUAGAAGUCUUAAUGGAACUAUCAGGAAAAGGAAACCUAGUCUGUCUGGCCAUGGGACAGACUGUACAGGGAAAGGGUUGUUUUGAAGCAAAUGGAAAAGACAGACCAGAAAUGCAUUUCAUAUUUGAAAAAGGAGUAGUGCAAGUCUUAAG
rnacentral:lncRNA from 1 species